rnacentral:rRNA from 1 species
GACGAACGCUGGCGGCGUGCUUAACACAUGCAAGUCGAACGAAGAGCGAUGGAAGCUUGCUUCUAUCAAUCAUAGUGGCGAACGGGUGAGUAACGCGUAAUCAACCUGCCCUUCAGAGGGGGACAACAGUUGGAAACGACUGCUAAUACCGCAUACGAUCUAAUCUCGGCAUCGAGGAUAGAUGAAAGGUGGCCUCUACAUGUAAGCUAUCACUGAAGGAGGGGAUUGCGUCUGAUUAGCUAGUUGGAGGGGUAACGGCCCACCAAGGCGAUGAUCAGUAGCCGGUCUGAGAGGAUGAACGGCCACAUUGGGACUGAGACACGGCCCAGACUCCUACGGGAGGCAGCAGUGGGGAAUCUUCCGCAAUGGACGAAAGUCUGACGGAGCAACGCCGCGUGAGUGAUGACGGCCUUCGGGUUGUAAAGCUCUGUUAAUCGGGACGAAAGGCCUUCUUGCGAAUAGUGAGAAGGAUUGACGGUACCGGAAUAGAAAGCCACGGCUAACUACGUG